UACGUAGGGGGCAAGCGUUGUCCGGAUUUAUUGGGCGUAAAGAGCGUGUAGGCGGCUUGGUAGGUCUCGCGUCAAAACCCGAGGCUCAACCUCAGUUCGCGUGGGAAACCACCUAGCUAGAGUCCGGAAGAGGAGAACGGAAUUCCCAGUGUAGCGGUGAAAUGCGCAGAUAUUGGGAAGAACACCAGUGGCGAAGGCGGUUCUCUGGGACGGUACUGACGCUGAGACGCGAAAGCGUGGGGAGCGAACAGG
rnacentral:rRNA from 1 species